AAAUUGAAGAGUUUGAUCAUGGCUCAGAUUGAACGCUGGCGGCAGGCCUAACACAUGCAAGUCGAACGGUAACAGGAAGCAGCUUGCUGCUUCGCUGACGAGUGGCGGACGGGUGAGUAAUGUCUGGGAAACUGCCUGAUGGAGGGGGAUAACUACUGGAAACGGUAGCUAAU
rnacentral:rRNA from 2 species